UACGUAGGUGGCGAGCGUUGUCCGGAAUUACUGGGCGUAAAGGGCGUGUAGGCGGGGGAUCAAGUCAGGUGUGAAAUACCGCGGCUUAACUGCGGGGCUGCACCUGAAACUGGUUUUCUUGAGUGUCGGAGAGGAAAGUGGAAUUCCCAGUGUAGCGGUGAAAUGCGUAGAGAUUGGGAGGAACACCAGUGGCGAAGGCGGCUUUCUGGACGAUAACUGACGCUGAGGCGCGAAAGCGUGGGGAGCAAACAGG
rnacentral:rRNA from 1 species